UACGUAGGUGGCAAGCGUUGUCCGGAUUUACUGGGUGUAAAGGGCGUGUAGGCGGGUUAACAAGUCAGAUGUGAAAUUCCGGGGCUCAACCCCGGCGCUGCAUCUGAAACUGUUAAUCUUGAGUGCUGGAGAGGAAAGCGGAAUUCCUAGUGUAGCGGUGAAAUGCGUAGAUAUUAGGAGGAACACCAGUGGCGAAGGCGGCUUUCUGGACAGUAACUGACGCUGAGGCGCGAAAGCGUGGGGAGCAAACAGG
rnacentral:rRNA from 1 species